AUAAGAUCCAAUGCUCGUUCGAAUCAGGUGAUACUGUCGAGGACGACUGUCGCAAAUGUGAACGAAUGCAAAGAGUUUGCAUUAGCCAAGAAAGCUUUGGCGUUUAAUUACGGGUUAGAAACCGAUCGUCGUGACUUUACUAAAUUACAUCUGUGGAACUAGGCAUUUGUCGAUCAGGUUGAACUUCUUGGGUCGGCGCUAAAGGGGUUAAUUUGUAUUCGUCUCCGAAACGUUGAAAACGAGACACAGCUUACCGCGCCUCGUUAAACUACGAGCGCGACUCUGGCAGUAGUAUGCCCCGUAGAACUUCCAGCAAAAAUCGUCCCGCGUUCAAAGGGUUAAACGCUAUGCAUAACGUUGGAGCAUAUUCUGAGGUAAAGUACGAGUCUUUUUUUUUUUAGCAAUAUUCGCUUAGCAUAGAGUAUAAUUGUGCCUUUCUUAUACGGUUACGUUGUUCUACGUGAUGCGUGCCUAAUUGCGUACACGCGGUAUGUCCAAUGACGAAUCAUCACGUUUCGGCGUUUGAAAAACAUUGGAACGAAGGUGCGAAAGUCAUGGCGGUAUACCUAACCACCGACCAACACGGUACUUUUUUUGUUUUAGACAAUUUUUCUUUAGGCGUUUUUCAAAUAACGGAUAUCUAAAAAUAAAAACAGUUGAAAAGAGAAAUGUUCGCUAAACUGGACAGUCUGUAUCUAUACAAUCAGUUCUUAGUGUAGUUUGUUUAUUAACGUUGGCAUUCAAUUUAAAAAGGAGAAUUUCCUUUUCAAAACUUCAUAUUUAAUGGGCAGUGAUAAUUAAUGAUAGUUUUCGAAAGAAAUUAAAAAAGAUACACGUGCCACGUGAAAGAAAAAUCGUAUUUUUAGAAACUAAGAUUAUAAAAUAUAGCUGUAUAUAUUUCUUAUUUUACGAAUGAACUGGCACUUUUUGUUUUUCAUUCGUAUUUCAUUUAUAUUUCACGUUGGAAUAAAGGAUUUUAAUUGGAUAACCAAUCAAGUUAUUUUGUUGUUUACUCCCGUUUUGCACGGGUUUUCAUACGAAAAGAGAGAAACCACUCUUUCGUGUAAAUCGGUGGAAAGGUGUAUAUGCACUAUGCGAUACUUGUUCUAGUAUUCGUGACAAGUAUCGCUGAUAGUUGCAUCGUAGACACACAGUCCGCGACACUUGAAUAAAUGCAAUAAUAUUUUUAUUAUACUAUACUUGUCCUAAGAUCAAUUAAUACUAGUUUUGUAAAAUAAUAGAUCCUAUUUAAUGAAAGCAUACGCAGUUGUGUUAAGUGUUCAAUUAUUUAGUAGAAAAAUAAUCAUUGUUCAUGAAAAAGAUACGAAUCAUCAGAUUGUUGACAUAAUGCAAGAUAAUAGAUACUUCAACACAAUAACCCGUUUAUACGCAUGGUCAAAUUAAUUAAUGACUGGCACAAACAACAGGGAAUUACAUACUUAAUAAAUUGGCCAGCACUAUCGCCAGAUUUGAACAUCAUCGAAAAUGUUUGGGGGCACUUUUCAAGAAGAAGAUCUUGUAAACGCUAUCGAGUCCGAAUUGAAAAUAAUACCAUAUUCUUCUAUACACACUCUGUAUAAAUCGUUACCAAAUCAGAUUCUUUGCAUUAUAAACAAAAAUGGUAGAUGUACAGGAAAGAUACUAAUAAAGUAUUUUCGUUAAAUAUAUAUUGUCUUUUUACGUUUCAUUUGCCAUGCAUGUAUUCAAACGACGCAGGCUGAUGUGUAUCUUUUUCCAUAAAGAAUAAAUAUCUUCAGACUAAAUAAGAGCUUAAUUAAAAUAACUGCGUAUACCUACUUCCACUACAUAGGACCUAUUACUUUCGAAAUACAGGGUGUCUCAGCAUCGGUGGUACAACCGAGAUGGUUUAGAUGGAUGGAUUCCGAUCCACAUCAAGUCAUAUGUCACUUAUAAGUAGCACUAAUAUCAUUAAUAUCAAGAUGAUGUGCUGUAUUACUCAUUUCUGCCUACGGAUUUAGUGUGAAUGUAAAGUCUGUAUCGAGAUCCACCUAUCUAAACCAUAGUUAAGUGUACGCGUACUCGCUGAAUAUUCAAAAGCGAUUUUCUUGAGAACGAAGCCUCAAAUGAAGAAAUUCGAUUCCUUAUUUUCGAUUUGUUUUUUCAUGUAGAAUCACACCCACCUCGGUUGUACCACCAUGUAUUAAGUAGAGAAUAAAUAGAGAAUAAUAUAGCAAAACUUUUAACGCGUUUAAUCAAGUGUCGCGGACUGCACAUACAUAUAAUAUAAUCUACUCAUCGAUACAAAAAACCUUUUUCUGUCUCCUCCAUUCGUGCUAGGCUCGGACUUCUCGGUGCCCGUACCUUCUCGAAAUUUCACUUCGACGUAAUUCUCUCGCAUCAUGCGUAUGUAUGUACACUUACAUAUAGAAACAACGCGCCUUCCUCUUCUUUUUCUGUAUGCUGGCCCGUCGAAAGAUAAAAUCCCGUCUCAAGCGAAUCCAUCGUGUGUUUUACCGAUACUCGAAGCACGUCUCGAUUCCCAUAAUUAAUUAUAGGUAUAAACUAACACGAGCAGCUCCAUCCGUCCCUCAGUUGACUCUUUAAUUGAAGUUUAAUUACGCUGGCGCUGUCGGGUUGUUCACAUUCGGAUGCCUCGAACAAACUGACCUGAAAUCAGAAUGCAUACGAUGUUGGUUCAAUCAACUUUAAUAUGUAAUAAUUGAAACCUCGAAGAAGGGCAUGUCAAAAUGUUCGGCUAUUUUUUGUCCCCACUCCACGUUAACAGCUCUGUUCGCAGUAACGUCGCAUUUAUUCGCUGUCAACACUUUUACCACAUCUGGCGAAGCGUUCUGCAAAGAAAA